AUUGAACGCUGGCGGCAUGCCUUACACAUGCAAGUCGAACGGCAGCACGGGGGCAACCCUGGUGGCGAGUGGCGAACGGGUGAGUAAUGCAUCGGAACGUGCCCCGUAGCGGGGGAUAACCAGUCGAAAGACUGGCUAAUACCGCAUACGCUCCACGGAGGAAAGCAGGGGAUCGCAAGACCUUGCACUAUGGGAGCGGCCGAUGCCCGAUUAGCUAGUUGGUGAGGUAAAGGCUCACCAAGGCGACGAUCGGUAGCUGGUUUGAGAGAACGACCAGCCACACUGGGACUGAGACACGGCCCAGACUCCUACGGGAGGCAGCAGUGGGGAAUUUUGGACAAUGGGCGCAAGCCUGAUCC
rnacentral:rRNA from 1 species